CGCGAAAGGGUCCUUCGGGGCCUGAGUAGAGCGGCGAACUGGUGAGUACAAGGUGAAUAACGUGCCCUUGAGUUGGGGAUAACCCCGGGAAACCGGGGCUAAUACCGGAUGGUCUCUUUGGUCUACGGACUGACGAGUAAAGCAGCAAUGCGCUCAAGGAUCGGUUCACCCCCCAUUAGCUAGUUGGUAGGGUAACAGCCUACCAAGGCUUCGAUGGGUAGCUGGACUGAGAGGUUGGCCAGCCACACUGGGACUGAGAUACGGCCCAGACUCCUACGGGGGGCAGCAGUCUAGAGGCUUCGUCAAUGCCCGAAAGGGUGAACGAGCGACGCCGCGUGCGGGAUGAAGGGCUUCGGCUUGUAAACCGCUUUUCUUUGGAAAGAACGUCCGGAUCGUGAAUCCGGACUUGACGGUACCAGGGGAAUAAGCCCCGGCUAACUCCGUGCCAGCAGCCGCGGUAAGACGGAGGGGGCAAGCGUUGUUCGGAAUUAUUGGGCGUAAAGGGCUCGUAGGCGGACCAGCAAGUCUGACGUGAAAUCUCCACUGCUCAACAGGGAGAGGCCGUUGGAUACUACUGAUCUUGAGUAUGGUAGAGGACCAUGGAAUUCCGCGUGUAGCGGUGGAAUGCGUAGAUAUGCGGAAGA
rnacentral:rRNA from 1 species